rnacentral:rRNA from 1 species
CCAGACUCCUACGGGAGGCAGCAGUGGGGGAUAUUGCACAAUGGGCGCAAGCCUGAUGCAGCGACGCCGCGUGAGCGAAGAAGUAUUUCGGUAUGUAAAGCUCUAUCAGCAGGGAAGAAAAUGACGGUACCUGACUAAGAAGCUCCGGCUAAAUACGUGCCAGCAGCCGCGGUAAUACGUAUGGAGCAAGCGUUAUCCGGAUUUAUUGGGUGUAAAGGGUGCGUAGACGGGUUAGCAAGUUAGUCGUGAAAUCCCUCGGCUUAACUGAGGAACUGCAACUAAAACUGCCAAUCUUGAGUGCAGGAGAGGUAAGUGGAAUUCCUAGUGUAGCGGUGAAAUGCGUAGAUAUUAGGAGGAACACCAGUGGCGAAGGCGACUUACUGGACUGUAACUGACGUUGAGGCACGAAAGUGUGGGGAGCAAACAGGAUUAGAUACCCGAGUA